AACUUUUAGCAAUGGAUCACUUGGUUCUGGCAUCGAUGAAGAACGCAGCGAAAUGCGAUAAUUAAUGUGAAUUGCAGACUCAGUGAAUCAUCGAAUCUUUGAACGCACAUUGCGCCCUCUGGUAUUCCGGGGGGCAUGCCUGUUCGAGCGUCAUUACAACCCUCAAGCUCUGCUUGGUGUUGGGCUCGCCCUGUAGGGCCUGCCUCAAAGUCAGUGGCGGCACCGACUGAACCUAAGCGUAGUAAUACCCGCCGCUUGUGGACUCAGUACGUGGCCUGCCAGCCAACCCGCACCAUCAAGGUUGACCUCGGAUCAGGUAGGGAUACCCGCUGAACUUAAGCAUAUCAAUAAGCGGAGGCU
rnacentral:misc_RNA from 1 species